rnacentral:rRNA from 1 species
UGUUUGGGAAUGCAGCUCUAAAUGGGUGGUAAGUUUCAUCUAAAGCUAAAUAUAGGCGAGAGACCGAUAGCGAACAAGUACCGUGAGGGAAAGAUGAAAAGAACUUUGAAAAGAGAGUUAAAAAGUACUUGAAAUUGCUAAGAGGGAAGCGCUGGAAACCAGUCGUUACUUACAGUCAUAUCGAUUAUUUGCUCCCGAAGGUAUCGGUCGUCAGUGGGUUCACCCUGUGCGGCUGGUUCGGACGGAGGGUAGGUGGUUCUGUGUCUGUGAGUGUGUCAGGAUCAAUUCGAUUCGCAGGAGAAAGCCAUGAGGAAGGUAGGGCUGCUUUCGGGUAGCCUGUUAUAGCCUUGUGGCCAUACUGUGGGUUGGAUUGAGGAAGUGUCAUGGUGCGCCUUUUUGGCUUGGUCCCUUGUUCCUGCUGGAUCAUCUGGUUUGGAUAGCAAUGCUAUGCGGCUGGAGAAGUUCGGUACUGGGUGAGAGGGCCAUAUGCAUUAUCGCGAUCCUGACGAAAUGGUUUUCAUCGACCCGUCUUGAAACACGGACC